rnacentral:rRNA from 1 species
UACAGAGACUGCAAGCGUUAUUCGGAUUCACUGGGCGUAAAGGGUGCGCAGGCGGCCAAGUGUGUUAGGCGUGAAAGCCCGGGGCUUAACCCCGGAAUUGCACCUAAAACUACAUGGCUAGAGCAUUGGAGAGGGUAGCAGAAUUCAUGGUGUAGCAGUGAAAUGCGUAGAUAUCAUGAGGAAUACCAGAGGCGAAGGCGGCUACCUGGACAAAUUGCUGACGCUCAGGCACGAAAGCGUGGGGGAGCAAAAAGGG